rnacentral:rRNA from 1 species
UAGGGGAUAUUAGUAAUGGGCGAAAGCCUGAACUAGCAACACCGCGUGUGCGAAGAAGGCCUUCGGGUUGUAUAGCACUUUUUAAGAGGAUGAGGAAGGACGGUACUCUCAGAAUAAGUCUCGGCUAACUACGUGCCAGCAGCCGCGGUAACACGUAGGAGGCAAACGUUAUCCGGAUUUACUGGGCGUAAAGCGCGUGUAGGUGGUUUGGUAAGUAGAGCGUGAAAGCUCCUGGCUCAACUGGGAGAGGUCGUUCUAAACUGCCGGACUAGAGGAUGGUAGAGGGAGGUGGAAUUCCGGGUGUAGCGGUGGAAUGCGCAGAUAUCCGGAGGAACACCAGUGGCGAAAGCGGCCUCCUGGACCACUCCUGACACUCAGACGCGAAAGCUAGGGUAGCAAACG